GCAGAAUGGAAGCGUGAAUAAAGAAUUGAUGAUAGCAAAAGUAGGAUAAUUGCAGAGAAAGCUAUGUGUUGAUUGAUAAUAAUAAUCAUUGUUAUAUAAAAGGUAUGGUGUUUGUGUCCUUGAUGACUAGGGCUAUCAGACGGAUGAUGUUAACGGAAUCAUGAUUUGGUGGUCUAGAUAUUCCGGAUGGGAAAGUCAUUGGACGGCUGGGAAACUUUCGAUUUUAACAAUUCGUACCACCAGUUUGUUCUAUACAUGGAAUCUUCAGAUACCAUCUUUCUUUCUUUAUGGCGAUUUAGCAGUGCCAUGAAAUUAAGGUUUCUUUCUUUCUUUCUCCAGAGAUGUAGAGAGAGGUUUCCUUACACAUAUUCAAUUAUUCUCAUACAACACUACCUACACCGCCGUCAGGAUCUAUAUCUUCAUCCACUUCUCCUUCUCGGCAGCAACAACGGUUCAGUGAACCACAACAUCAUCUUCUUAUAGUUGAGCAAGUGCUUAAAACAUCUUCAUCUCAUUUUUGUUGAUUUCAGUUGAAUUUGAGGGAUUUUCUAGGAUCAUACCUGGACAAAAGAACAACGCAAGCUCUGCAACCACCUGCAAUUGCGUCAGGCUGGGUUUGUUGUUUCAGAUCAGCUGCUUAUAUUGUUUAGUCCUGGGCUAUUUAGAUUCGCGUAUUCAGUAUAUAUUUCAAAUUGAUUUGAGAUUUGGGAAUUGUGCAUGUGUCAGUUGAUUGAGCUUUGAAUUUUCUUCACGCUUUUCUAAUUUCCUUUGAUCAUUUAAUAGUUUCUGAUUUGUUAAUACCACAUGUACCAAUCCUCUUUAUCCCUCUAGAUAGAUUUUAUGAGUUUUGAUUAGCUAUCUAUAGAACACUUUGAUUCAUACAGCUCUGAUCUCAUCUAUUUGUCUCUUUAAUUGAUUAAAUGGGUUUUGUUAUUUUGACAUGGAUAGUUAUUUGAAAGCAAAAAAUGUCGAAUUUGGUAAGAAGGCGAAGAAACUUCCAUAUGUGAUGAAGAGAGGCGAAAGCAACAGCUAUUUUUAAAAAGAAGCCUCUUAUGUAAUUUCUCAGGAACACUCAAAGGUUAUUACGCUGGGAAAAUUCUGAUUUUAAGCUCGAGUGUCGACAGGUUAUUUUAUAUGGAUGGCUAGAUUCUGAUACUAAGUUGGUUCAGUGAAUUACUAAUAGAGCUUCGAAAUUCAUACCCGUUUAUUGAGGAACACUUAACAUUGUAUUAUUGAUUUUUUUUCCCUUUCUUAAUACAUUUAUAUACACAAAUUUCUGGAUUCCAACGAGUCCUUAUAGGAUUCGUGGUGGGAAUUAAACAAAGUUUACCUGAUGAGGAAUAAUCUUUGCUUCCAUCAUUCAAGAAAAAACAAAGUUUCAACAUGUACCAACACUGCCAUUCUUCUUGCUACUUAUAUGCAUACUCUUGAGCUUCUUUAUAGAAGAGUCAGCAUCAUACCAAGCUUCCUAUCUGGCGCAUGCAUGAGUUGGAUUAAUGUAAGGCUUCUUUGGAGGAAUCAAGAAACAAGUCUUAGAGGAGCACCAAGCAAUGAGUUCCCCUUUCCUCAUUCUUUCUUGGUGUGGUAUAUAUAAUAUGCCAUUCUAUGAUGUUUUUUCAUUCGAAAUCAUUAUUUCAUCUUUAUGUUGGUGUACUUCUAUAAAAAUCCUUAAAAAUCCUUAUUGAGGAAGCCUUUGUUGGGAAUUUUCAAGUUUUAUGGAAUUUUAUUGAUCCUGCUAUUGCUGCACAGACUAAGUACUACUCAAAGGUUUUCCCUCCUAGGAACACUCCUGGGAUAUGUCUACUACUUUUCAAUUAAAGUCGAUAUUUGGUAUCCUUGAAACUAUAGAUAUGAGUCAACAUAUAUAGGAAGGAUUGAGGUUAGUCUAACCUUUCGUGGUUCUGUAUAGUAAAAAUGACGGUGCAAUUUAUUGAAUAGAUUAAUUAGUUGGUGCAUUUAUAAUAUUUAUAAUAUAGUCUUACAUUUUGAUUCCUCCCCAUGUUUUGAUUUGAGUUAUGAAUUGCAUGGGUGUAGGAAGAGACUGUAAAUUGCAUGGGUGUAUGAAGAGACUGUAAAAAUUUUAAUUCAUUUUUUUAGUUUAUCUGUAGGUCAUGAAGUAUGGGUUUUCUCUUGGAUUGAUUUCUGGCUAGGUUUUAGGUCAUAUUUUGAGUUUUGAAUUGCCGGGAGGUGGGAAGAGUCCGUAAAUUUUUUAUGCGAGAAGCCUUUGAGCAUGUGAGUUUGUUGGUUGGGAAUUGCAGGGACACGCAGGACUGGGUACUCUAUGUAAUGGGACAGAUAGUUGUCCGCUGUUUAUCAACAACUGCAUAGAGAAUGCUUAUAUUAUUGUACUAGGUAGCGCCUGUUUGUAUAUUAUCAAUUUACCUCUUAAUUCGUACUGAAUGUUCUGUUUGUAGAUAUAACAUUGUUGAUUGUCGAAAGUUUCCUGGAGUUGGUUGUCCAUCACCCAGAGUCUGUUUUCUUUUCUAAGUGGACUUAGCUGAAAUGACGGAAAUGCAAAAUAUACUCAUGUUAGUUAGUCACCUGUUCUUCGACUUAUAUAUCAUUCCAUCAUUUAUUAUUUUUAAUAUGGAUGCUUAGAUUUCUUUUUUUAAUGCAACUGAGGUCAUGUGUAUUAAUGCAUCAGUUCAUGUGGAGGGCUUAGAUUCUUCGUACAUCCAUGGCAACAGGAAAAAAGUGUUACGAAAUUCUUAAUAGGUAUUCAAAGAGAUGAAGAAAACCUUUUAGUAGUUGCAGAAGAUUGUUCUGCGAGGUUCUCAAAAUUUGUUUCAGUUACAUAUGGAGGGAUAUUAAGCAUGGCCAUCUCAGUCUAUCGCAUGUCAUAUGUACACGUAACACCAGGUUGAUUUAACCCGUCGACACUUUAAAAGCUUGAGCCAGUAUGGGUUUAAUUGCCAAGUGAAUUACCCGAUGAAAAGCUAAAGGUUUGGUGCACAUCUUGAUAUGUUCUCGUAAUGAAUAACCUUAAUUCUAUUAGUAGAUGAUGUUUUAUCUUUACUUAGACAUAAUUGUAGGUUAUUUUUUGAAGUAACUCCUCCUAACUCAAAUAGGAAAAUGCAUUUCUAAUGAAAACCUACUACACUAUGUACAUUUCUUUAACAGAUCCAUGCUAAUGCACGAAUAAAGAAGUCAAUUAGAUACGCCAAUGAACAAACUCCUUCUCCAUAGAAAACAAGUUGCACAAGAAAAGCCAAACUUACUAUUGUAUCAAGUAGAGGCAUUUUCAUUUUCGUUAGUAUAAUUUUACAAUUGUAUGCUCUGGACAGGUCAAUUCGAAAGAAAAAAAAAAGGUAUGACCUAAAAAAAAGAUUUGUUUACACCUUCAUAUAACUUACCAUCGUAUCAGGUAGAGGCAUUGGUUUCAUUAAUAUAAUUUUACGGUAUGUUCUGGACAGGUCAAUCCGAAAAAAAGAAAAGGGAUGAUAUAAGAAAGAGAUCUGUUUGUAUCUUCUAAAACAUGCUAAUUUUUUCCAAGUAAAAGAGAGAGAAUAAGCAAUAUAGAAGAAAAAAAAACCUUUUACGUAAUAACAUUCAUUCCUAUAGCAUCUCCAUAGUCCCAUUGGAAGUGACUAUUAGAUUACAACUUCUAAUUUAUUUUUUAUGAAGGUUAUCCUUAUCUAAUGGAUCACUAUACAAUUACCAUCAAAUUUCUUCAAUCUGUCAAGAUGAACCUGCUGGAGCUUCAAAAUCAUCGAUGGAGGUUAUUUGAUAGCAACCCUUGGGAAAAGUAGAAAGAGGACCAAGGUCUAGAAGAACUGGCCGUUGGUAGUUUAGUGUUUGGUUAGUAUUAUCUCCCACUCUUUUGUUCAUCAUUUUAUUUGGUUCUUAAUUCAUUUUUUUUUCCUGCUUACAUUUGAUGCAAGGAUUGUUGAAAUUAGUUUAUUUGGGUAAAUCAAAUCCCUAAGUUAAAAGUU